UGGGGAAUAUUGCACAAUGGGCGCAAGCCUGAUGCAGCCAUGCCGCGUGUGUGAAGAAGGCCUUCGGGUUGUAAAGCACUUUCAGCGGGGAGGAAGGCGAUAAGGUUAAUAACCUUGUCGAUUGACGUUACCCGCAGAAGAAGCACCGGCUAACUCCGUGCCAGCAGCCGCGGUAAUAUGGAGGGUGCAAGCGUUAAUCGGAAUUACUGGGCGUAAAGCGCACGCAUGCGGACUGUCAAGUCGGAUGUGAAAUCCCCGGGCUCAACCUGGGAACUGGAUUCGAAACUGGCAGGCUAGAGUCUUGUAGAGGGGGGUAGAAUUCCAAGUGUAGCGGUGAAAUGCGUAGAGAACUGGAGGAGUACCGGUGGCGAAGGCGGCCCCCUGGACAAAGACUGACGCUCAGGUGCGAAAGCGUGGGGAGCAAACAGG
rnacentral:rRNA from 1 species